GCCUCCAUAGCUCAGUGGCUAGAGCGCUGGUCUAGUAAACCAGAGGCCAGGAGUUCGAUCUCACUCCUUGGGGCCA
rnacentral:tRNA from 1 species